GUUCUCAUAGAUAUGAAUGAGUAGAUAGGACACGCCCCUUUGAGCUGCGUGCUACAGCGAGGCUAAGCUAGUGGGGGCAAAGUUUCAGUGCAUUCUGUUGAUGUAGACGGCGUGAAAACGUAAACAACAAGUAUGCCGGCUCACUGUGCUGCAUACAGUUACACACUACGUCGUACGAUUGAGACAAGGAAACUUGGAAUGACUUUUCAUAGGUAAGAAUAGUUUUUGGCUCUUUUUUCAUGAUGAAAUCUUGUUGAGAGCUUCCAGUCUGUGAGAGCUAACUAGUUAGCCACUAGCAAAACGCUAAGGCGAGCUAGGAUGUAGUUCAGAAAACAUCAAAGUAUAGUAUGCUUUACUCAAGAAUAACAUAGUAUGGCCUGUAGUUCAUAGUACAGCAUGUUGGCAAGAAAAAAAAACAAAACAUAGAUUAUUAUGUGAUUCAAAAAGCGCAAAAUGAUAGGAUGUUGCCUAAAAUUGUCAUGUAUGAUAUGUGGUUCAAAAAAUGUCACAGUGCAGUAUAUUGUCAAAAUAGUAUGUAAUUCAACAAAACAUCAGAGUAUAAUAUGUCGUCUAAAAAAUGCCAUAGAAUAAUAAUUUCAUUGCACAAGUAAAAGUAUAGUAACUUUUAAAACUGUUCAAAUUCUUAUAUGUUGCUAAAAAAAAUAAAAAAACUAAAGCAAAAAAACGUCACAGUAAUAUGUCAAUUAAAAAAGCCUAUAGUAUAGCGUGUCGCACAACAAACAUCAUAGUAUAGCAUGUUGCUCUAAAAACGUCACAGUAUAGCCUUUAGUCCACAGCUGUCAGUAGGUGAGGAGCAACACAAAAACAGUCCAAAUGCUGGUUUCCAGAGGGUUAGAUGAGAAUUUAUUUGAAAGAGUAAGUUUACAACAACACAACAUGUGAGGGGGUUAAAAACAAAUGGGUGUUAGUAAAAUAAAAAUAAAUCAACAGAACUAAAAGUAAACUUCAUGUUGACAAUGAUAGGCAUUCCAACCAGGAACAAAGUAAAAGAUAAUCAAUACGAAAACAAAACCUCUUCCUGUUCACCUCUUAAAACCCAAAAACACACCUCAGUAGCACCCUAAACUAAAACUACCAAUGGGUUCCCUGUUUUCCUUUGUGAACAGUUCAAAGGUCCCUCUCUAUCUCCCCACACAUCCACCAACCACUGGAACACAUCUCCAAAGUUCUGCCAGGCCAGCUCAGCUUCCCCUCAGAAGAAGUGCCACCACCUGCCAGAUGAAGGAGCCUUUUGAGAGGCAGCUGGCAUCGUGAUUGGACUGUACUUUGGUCUGUUCCAAUCCAGCUUCAGCUCCAGAGACGGCAGGCGGGACGAGUCAACGGAGGCCUGGUGGACGAAGGCAUGCAGCUGAGUACAAUCCAGAAAACAACAGAGGAGGAGUGCAGCAGCCCAGAGCCAGAACAACCAGAGUAGCAUCACCAAAGAACUACAGACUCUUCACAACCUGCUCAAACUCUUGGUACAGGACCUCACCACACGGGUCAAGAAGGUUUCUGUCUCAUUUCUACUCUGAAGCUCACCUUCUCCUGCUCAAACUGCUGACAAAUGUUUCUGCUGCUCUAAAGUCUGAUCUCCAGAACUUCCUAAAAACUCUCAAAGUCUCUUCUGCUGCAGGUUGCUUUGUAGAACUGUUGCAGAAAACCUCACUAAACCACAUGGAGGGGCCUCAAGAUAGUCGUCCAAAUGAAACCAUACAAAAACCAAACUAGCACAACCCAAACGCUAAAGUCUCCUGCAGCCUACCAGAGAACCUCUGAGAACAGAGAAUCAGGACAGGAACUCUUACCUUCUGGACAACCAACGUUGGUUCUCAAACAAGAAUACAGAAUGUGUCUGACCAAAAACCUCUGAAGACUCACUACAGCCAAGAUAAAGACACAACUCAGCUGCACCAAAUCCACUAAUCACUGCACACAUUAGCACCAUGUGCUAACUGUGGCUAAAGAACCACAUUUACCAAGACAACUAUCCAGUACAAAGCCCUAAAACACACCAAGAGACACAUUAAAGAUGAUUUUACUGCUGGAAGCUGCAAACCAACGCCUAAAGAACAAACUAAAGCAAUGGAACCAAACCCGGUUCUGUGGUGAAGAGAAGCAGAGGAAAUGUUUGUCUGCAGCUAAAUAAAGCAGGAAGACACUGA